UACGGGGGGAGCAAGCGUUGUUCGGAUUUACUGGGCGUAAAGGGCGCGUAGGCGGUCAGCACAAGUCAGUUGUGAAAUCUCCGGGCUUAACUCGGAACGGUCAACUGAUACUGUGCGACUAGAGUGCAGAAGGGGCAACUGGAAUUCUUGGUGUAGCGGUGAAAUGCGUAGAUAUCGAGAGGAACACCUGCGGCGAAGGCGGGUUGCUGGGCUGACACUGACGCUGAGGCGCGAAAGCCAGGGGAGCGAACGGG
rnacentral:rRNA from 1 species